rnacentral:misc_RNA from 1 species
GGAAGGGGCAACGGACUAAUUAACUGAACAGUUGACAAACAACCAGAUGGUGUAAAGCUGCUUGGCUCACUGCAUUUUCCAUCAUCUACAUUAAAGCCUUCGUUCAAAUCAAAUUCCAACUUAGCAUCCAUAUCUGACACCCCCACAGCAGACAUGGAACCAGCAUCUGCAGCAGUGGAUGUAGACUCCUCUGCCUCUUCUGCUUCAACACCAGCUAAUUUGG